AUACUUACCUGGCAAGGGAGAUACCAUGAUCAAGAAGGUGGUUCACCCAGGGCGAGGUAUAGCCAUUGCACUUCGGCUGUAUUGACCCCUGCGAAUUCCCCAAAUGUGGGAAUCUCGAUUGCAUAAUUUCUGGUAGUGGGGGACUGCGUUCGCGCUCUCCCCUG